rnacentral:misc_RNA from 1 species
CAGAGUUGCAAAACUCCCACAAACCAUCGCGAAUCUUACCCGUACGGUUGCCUCGGCGCUGGCGGUCCGGAAGGCCCUCGGGCCCCCCGGAUCCUCGGGUCUCCCGCUCGCGGGAGGCUGCCCGCCGGAGUGCCGAAACCAAACUCUUGAUAUUUUAUGUCUCUCUGGGUAAACUUUUAAAUAAGUCA